CAUACAGAAGGAAAGGCAAGUGUGUUGACUGGUUUAUUGGUUUUAAGACCUAUUUUGUCUUGAAUGGUUUAGUGCUAACUAAGUGUUUUGUGGUCAGUACUUACAGUCAUUACUUCACAAGAGACUAAAACUGUGAGGUCUGGGCCUGUCCCAGGUCUGCAGAGGUGAUCAUGGUUGUUACACUAGGGAGGCAACCUGAGAACUGGUCUGUGUGUAGACAAAACAGAGCUAGGGAUGUGGAGGAGCAGUUAAGUGGUCACUUGUGACAGCAAAAUUCAAACACAGUCACAAGUUUUGUUUUUUCUUCUUUGAAAAGGAUUUUGUGUAUUAAUAAGUAGCUUUUAGAAUAAUAGAUGGGCUUUCACAGACAGGCUUAACCUUGCUGUUUCAAUGUUGGUUUGUUGCUUUGUUUGUUGGGGGUUUUUUUAACAUGGCAUAGUCAAAAACAUGGUAUCAAAGGUAAGAAAAAAAUUAUGACAUAGCUACCAGUUAUGUAAAUAUCUCAGUUAUGGCUGGUCAGCUCCUGUCACCCAACUGAAAGAUAAUACAGCAAAAGUGUUUUUUUAUUUUGUUGUCCUAUUAUUCACCAUUUACUUUACUGUUGUUUUCACCACCUACCAUAUAUAAUCGAUUGGCUGUCCCCUGCUGUUGCCGUGGAUAUUUAAUACAUUGACAUGGAAAAGAGACACAGUUUUUUGAAAAGGGAACUGUAACUACAAAAUUCCUCUAGCACGGAAUGGAUGUCUGUGCCGUAUUUUAUAUGAGUACAACCAAUAAUGGCUUUCUGCUUCAUGUUCUUUUCUACCAUCUACACGUAUAGAUGUCCAUGCUACAUCUCCUGUUUUAUGAGGCUGGUGCCUAAGAGAGCAUUAGGUCUGACAGAGCUCCUUGUGUCCAUUCUCCCUCCCUGGAGCAGGCAAGAAGGGCCGGGUUUGUAGGUCAGUUGGCUUGAAAUUCAGAAGCACUUAAUGGAAGAGUGGUGAAUGCUACUGAUUAGAAUGGUCCAGCAUAAACAGGAAUCCAAGAACCUCCCUUCAGACUCUUAGGUCUGAGCUUUUUUGGAGAUCAAAGGAGAACGCAGUAUUUUGAACAAAAUGUGCAAGGGCCCACCCUUCCUGAACUGCACUUUUGGAAGUAUGUUCUGUCCUGCAGCCGUAAUACUCUGCAGAAGGGUUUGGGUGUCGUGUCGUCGUCCCCCGCACCUUUUUAAUAUAUUUCAUAAGAGAAAUUUAAUAGCUAUUUUCAUAGGAGUCUCUGAUCCUACACUCUUCUCAUUGUGCCUGGGUGUUCUGUGAGGAAAGCUGCUGAUCAUUACUGAUUUAAGUCUCGCACCUUUAAUUCAUCAGAAUUUCAUGUAAUGUAUUACUUACAUUAGAUGUAGGUGCCAAAACUGACCUGUAAACCUAAAAUUAAAUUGGGACUACACAAUUAAUUUCACUUAGAUUGUGGAAAUUAGACUAUAAAUGGAAUUCCUGCGGGAACUGAGUAAACCUUCUUUGACAUUGAUUUAAUGUAAUUCUUUUCUUAAUAGGGUAACUUUAAAUUGUGUAACCAGUACAUACUUUUAACCAGCACAGAUUUGUAGCAAAUCCUGCAGGAAGAUUUGCUUAACAGGAACAUUCUGUGUGUUUCUGAAUUUAAGGAUCACAGGGUAUGGCUUUAUUGCAGCUGACUAGAUAGCCAGGUGUCAUACCCCUUCCUGAAACUUGAUCAGAUAGGUAAUGCUACAAAGCUAACAUGUCAUUUGUCAAACAUCUCAUUAUUUUAUAAAAUGCACAUGCGCAGGAUAACAUAAAGUUAGGGUCAAGAUUUAUUUUGUGGUCAAAACUGAAUUCAGAAUGUGAAUUUCAAGGUUAGUACCUGAAUCAGAAUUUCAUGUCCAAAUCACAAUAAUUAAUGCCUAAUUUGGGAGAAUUUUGAAUUAAAGACUUAAUUUUUCCAAUUGGACUCAGGAAUUCAAAGUCUGACUAGCUCUGGAACAAAAAUUUGCAUUUUCAAUAGAUGACAAAUGAGUGUGCUUGUUUUAUGCAUGAAAUGAAUUUGAGGACUGAAAUUAUUCUGAAUCAUCCAAAUGCUUAUGCUCUAGAUGACACCGUAUUUUGCUUCUUAUGCUGUUAGUAACAGUAUUCAAAAGCAUAUUUUCUUUCCUUUCUUGAGAUUUAGAAAUAUUCUUGUUUUUAAAGAUAACCUGUUCAGGUCUGAUUCUUCAAGUUUUUCUCUGAAUGUGAUGGCACUCAGAGGUCUGAGUUAACACAUGCACUGGCUUUGCAUGAGAACUCAUGCAUUAGAUUGUCUCUGCAGGGGAACAUUUAGGGUACUUAAGAUAAUUUGACCUAUGAAAACAUUAAUUUUGAAUGUUUUACUGAAAGUAGCUCAGAAUACCCUGACAUUCUGUAAAAUGUAUGACAAUGCUUUUAAACAGGGUAAGAAUACUCUGAAUGCUGGGUCAUCUCAAAACUUGCUUAAAGUUUUCUGGGAUCUGCUACUCAACAAGUCUUCUGUAUUGUUUAACACAGUAUUGCCCUGGUCCUUUACUAAGCUGGUAGGUGCAAAAGCAGUUCUAAUGUCUAUCAGGCUGUAUAAAAAGCACAGCUGUACACCAGACCUCCAUCAUUUUAGGUAUUAGAAGUAAUCACGAAAAGGCUGCCUUUCGCAACCAAUCAUUCAUCUGAGGCACUAUUAAACAUCCUCUGGUAUUAGCAGAGUUCUUAAAAUUAAUUAAGUUCCAGACACGGCAUGUGUUGAUAGCAGGUAGUCUUGCAUGUUCUUUCUCCCUUCUGCAUGCUUACAGCUGAUCUUCUGAUCCUGUUAGUUUAAUCUCUUAAUUGUCUGUAUGUCCUUCCAAGAAGGCGCUGCCCUUUCCUUGAUGAAGUCAAGUUCUUUGUUCUUUCCAAGGUUUCAUUCCAAGGAAUGUGAAGGGACAAGCUUUAAGACACUACUGUACUGUAUUUGCAAAGAAGAGUAAAAAGCGCUGAAUGGAAAUCCACUUUAAAAUAGAAAACUGCACACAAAACCCCACCACCCGCAGACUUGCGAGAGCUUUUGGCAGUUAAAAAUAUAUACACAUUCUUCUCCUAAUUCAUAAGAAAUAAUAGUAUGGGAACUAUAUUUUGCACAAAUACAGUUCCAAAAAAUCAGGGUGGUUUUCUUU